rnacentral:rRNA from 1 species
CCUACGGGUGGCUGCAGUGAGGAAUAUUGGUCAAUGGACGAGAGUCUGAACCAGCCAAGUCGCGUGAAGGAUGAAGGCCCUAGGGGUUGUAAACUUCUUUUAUCUGGGAAUAAAGUGUGCCACGUGUGGCAUUGUGUAUGUACCAUAUGAAUAAGGAUCGGCUAACUCCGUGCCAGCAGCCGCGGUAAUACGGAGGGUUCGAGCGUUAUCCGGAUUGAUUGGGUUUAAAGGGAGCGUAGGUGGAUUGUUAAGUCAGUUGUGAAAGGUUGCGGCUCAACCGUACAAGUGCAGUUGAAACUGGCAGUCUUGAGUCGAGGAGAGGUGGGCGGAAUUCGUGGUGUAGCGGUGAAAUGCUUAGAUAUCACGAAGAAUUCCGAUUGCGAAGGCAGCCCACUGGACUGCGACUGACACUGAGGCUCGAAAGUGUGGGGAUCAAACAGGAUUAGAUACCCGAGUAGUC